rnacentral:rRNA from 1 species
AUUGAACGCUGGCGGCAGGCCUAACACAUGCAAGUCGAACGGUAACAGAAAGCAGCUUGCUGCUUUGCUGACGAGUGGCGGACGGGUGAGUAAUGUCUGGGAAACUGCCUGAUGGAGGGGGAUAACUACUGGAAACGGUAGCUAAUACCGCAUAACGUCGCAAGACCAAAGAGGGGGACCUUCGGGCCUCUUGCCAUCGGAUGUGCCCAGAUGGGAUUAGCUAGUAGGUGGGGUAACGGCUCACCUAGGCGACGAUCCCUAGCUGGUCUGAGAGGAUGACCCGCCCAACCGGAACUGAGACACGGUCCAGACUCCUACGGGAGGCAGCAGUGGGGAAUAUUGCACAAUGGGCGCAAGCCUGAUGCAGCCAUGCCGCGUGUAUGAAGAAGGCCUUCGGGUUGUAAAGUACUUUCAGCGGGGAGGAAGGGAGUAAAGUUAAUACCUUUGCUCAUUGACGUUACCCGCAGAAGAAGCACCGGCUAACUCCGUG